ensembl:lncRNA DARS1-AS1 DARS1 antisense RNA 1
GUUCUGGGCUUCUGGCUGCAUUCUAGGAAGAUCAUUCCUUAAAAGAAAUAGCCAUAUGGCUUAUAAGUGUUCUUUCCUGUAUGAAGCCCAAGCUGUCCACUUGGAGAGACAUCUGGCCAGCCCCCCGUUGUUCCAGCCAUCCCCAGUUCAGGCAUCAGACAUGUGGUGAAGAAGCCAUCCUAGAUGCCCAGCCCCAGCUACCAUCUGAUGCAACCACACUGCUCACCCCGAGCAAGAACUGCCUGCAGGAGCCUAGUAUUAUCCUCUCUCACAGAACCAUGGCAGGGAAUAAUAAAUUGUUGUUUGAAGCC